GUUAAUUGAUUAUGACGUGCUUGCACUGAAUGAGAUUUUAACACGAAGUGAGUGGCGGACGGGUGAGUAACACGUGGGUAACCUGCCCAGAAGCAGGGGAUAACACCUGGAAACAGAUGCUAAUACCGUAUAACAGAGAAAACCGCCUGGUUUUCUUUUAAAAGAUGGCUCUGCUAUCACUUCUGGAUGGACCCGCGGCGCAUUAGCUAGUUGGUGAGGUAACGGCUCACCAAGGCGAUGAUGCGUAGCCGACCUGAGAGGGUAAUCGGCCACAUUGGGACUGAGACACGGCCCAGACUCCUACGGGAGGCAGCAGUAGGGAAUCUUCCACAAUGGACGCAAGUCUGAUGGAGCAACGCCGCGUGAGUGAAGAAGGGUUUCGGCUCGUAAAGCUCUGUUGUUAAAGAAGAACGUGGGUGAGAGUAACUGUUCACCCAGUGACGGUAUUUAACCAGAAAGCCACGGCUAACUACGUGCCAGCAGCCGCGGUAAUACGUAGGUGGCAAGCGUUAUCCGGAUUUAUUGGGCGUAAAGCGAGCGCAGGCGGUCUUUUAAGUCUAAUGUGAAAGCCUUCGGCUCAACCGAAGAAGUGCAUUGGAAACUGGGAGACUUGAGUGCAGAAGAGGACAGUGGAACUCCAUGUGUAGCGGUGAAAUGCGUAGAUAUAUGGAAGAACACCAGUGGCGAAGGCGGCUGUCUGGUCUGUAACUGACGCUGAGGCUCGAAAGCAUGGGUAGCGAACAGGAUUAGAUACCCUGGUAGUCCAUGCCGUAAACGAUGAUUACUAAGUGUUGGAGGGUUUCCGCCCUUCAGUGCUGCAGCUAACGCAUUAAGUAAUCCGCCUGGGGAGUACGACCGCAAGGUUGAAACUCAAAAGAAUUGACGGGGGCCCGCACAAGCGGUGGAGCAUGUGGUUUAAUUCGAAGCUACGCGAAGAACCUUACCAGGUCUUGACAUCUUCUGCCAACCUAAGAGAUUAGGCGUUCCCUUCGGGGACAGAAUGACAGGUGGUGCAUGGUUGUCGUCAGCUCGUGUCGUGAGAUGUUGGGUUAAGUCCCGCAACGAGCGCAACCCUUAUUACUAGUUGCCAGCAUUCAGUUGGGCACUCUAGUGAGACUGCCGGUGACAAACCGGAGGAAGGUGGGGACGACGUCAAAUCAUCAUGCCCCUUAUGACCUGGGCUACACACGUGCUACAAUGGAUGGUACAACGAGUCGCGAAACCGCGAGGUUUAGCUAAUCUCUUAAAACCAUUCUCAGUUCGGACUGUAGGCUGCAACUCGCCUACACGAAGUCGGAAUCGCUAGUAAUCGCGGAUCAGCAUGCCGCGGUGAAUACGUUCCCGGGCCUUGUACACACCGCCCGUCACACCAUGAGAGUUUGUAACACCCAAAGCCGGUGGGGUAACCUUUUAGGAGCUAGCCGUCU
rnacentral:rRNA from 1 species